GCCAGGCACGGUGGGGCACACCUGUAAUCCCAUCCACUCAGGAGGCUGAGGCAGGAGGAUCACAGGUUCAAGGCCAGCCUCAGGUGAAGCCUUAAGCAACUUAGGGAGACUCUGUCUCAA
rnacentral:sRNA from 1 species